CCCAACUCCAACCUCAAAAAACUAGUCAUUCGGAAUUCUGAAAGACCACAGCACUCUAUGUCUACUUCUAUUAUAGAUUCAUAUUUGACCAUAAUUAUUUAUUUCAACAUUUCUCUGCACUACCAGACUUUGAGUUCCCUGGAACUAAAAAUAUUGCUUGGACCUCACGCUGUACCUGAAUACCUGGCAUUAAGAACUUAUUUGCCUCAUAACCCAAAUUCCUGCUCCCCAAUAAAAAAUGAGUAACAUCAGGGUAUAAAAUGCCAGCUGGAAGAGUAUUCGCAACCAUAUACAAUGAAGAGUCACACUUCCAAGAAGAAAGCCGAUGUCCCACUUCAGCAUCAAAUCUAAGACACUGCAUUUCACUUUUUCUGUACAAAUAUCAUAAUCUGUUUGUUAAUCUCUUGGUUUUAUUUCAAAAAUGAAACUAUAUUUAGAGAGGGAACAAAUUCUACCAGUUGCUGUUGGAAGCAAAAGAUCUUUUUCAUUCUUGGAUGCUUUAUAUUUGGACAGAGAAAGAAUCAGAAUCCAUCCUUCUUUUUCCUAACCGGAAUUUGAGAGACAUGAGAAGGGAACUAAACACACAGGCUUCAGGAUCUGGUGGAAAGAGAUAAGGUGUCUCAACGACUGUUGGCCUCAUCAAGAGAUACUACCCCUGAUCUUUUCAUUUCACUUUCCUCGGGUCUGCCUAAACUCAGUGUCUCUCCUAGAAAACCACCCAACUCAUGAAAAACUGUUUGUAAGAAAAUGUUCUCAACACAAAGAAAUAAUAAAGGUUUGAGAUGAUAAAUAUGCUAA
rnacentral:lncRNA from 1 species